rnacentral:lncRNA from 1 species
GACACUGAAGUGGUGAGCUUCCAUACUUUGGAAGGAUUCAUUCGUGGUCUUUAUUACUUGUGUCUUAGACAUUGUUCAGACUUUGUUUUUGGCUGUCAUUGGGGGUAUGUCCCAAUAUUUUUUUGAUUUUGGUUUCAUAGAGGAUUUGUUGGAUUACUGUGGACUCGAGUAUGUUGUUCUGGUGGAUUGGUUUGGCGGCGGAUGGUUUUUAGUUACAG